UACGUAGGUGGCAAGCGUUGUUCGGAAUUACUGGGCGUAAAGCGCGUGUAGGCGGCUCUUCAAGUCAGGCGUGAAAGCCCCGGGCUUAACUCGGGAACUGCGCUUGAUACUGUCGAGCUAGAGUAUGGAAGGGGCGAUUGGAAUUCCGUGUGUAGCGGUGAAAUGCGUAGAUAUACGGAGGAACACCAGAGGCGAAGGCGGAUCGCUGGGCCAACACUGACGCUGAGACGCGAAAGCUAGGGGAGCAAACGGG
rnacentral:rRNA from 1 species